rnacentral:rRNA from 1 species
AGUGAACGCUGGCGGUAGGCCUAACACAUGCAAGUCGAACGGCAGCACAGUAAGAGCUUGCUCUUACGGGUGGCGAGUGGCGGACGGGUGAGGAGUACAUCGGAAUCUACUUUUUCGUGGGGGAUAACGUAGGGAAACUUACGCUAAUACCGCAUACGACCUACGGGUGAAAGCAGGGGAUCUUCGGACCUUGCGCGAUUGAAUGAGCCGAUGUCGGAUUAGCUAGUUGGCGGGGUAAAGGCCCACCAAGGCGACGAUCCGUAGCUGGUCUGAGAGGAUGAUCACCCACACUGGAACUGGGCCACGGUCCAGACUCCUACGGGAGGCAGCAGUGGGGAACAUUGGACAAUGGGCGCAAGCCUGAUCCAGCCAGACCGCGUGGGUGAAGAAGGCCUUCGGGUUGUAAAGCCCUUUUGUUGGGAAAGAAAAGCAGCAGGUUAAUACCCCGCUGUUCUGACGGUACCCAAAGAAUAAGCACCGGCUAACUUCGUG